rnacentral:rRNA from 1 species
UACGAAGGGUGCAAGCGUUACUCGGAAUUACUGGGCGUAAAGCGUGCGUAGGUGGUUUGUUAAGUCUGAUGUGAGAGCCCUGGGCUCAACCUGGGAAUUGCAUUGGAUACUGGCAAGCUAGAGUGCGGUAGAGGAUGGCGGAAUUCCCGGUGUAGCAGUGAAAUGCGUAGAGAUCGGGAGGAACAUCUGUGGCGAAGGCGGCCAUCUGGACCAGCACUGACACUGAGGCACGAAAGCGUGGGGAGCAAACAGG